rnacentral:misc_RNA from 1 species
AAGGAUCAUUAAAAAAAUUAAUGAAUUGUCGGGGGAGUGUCAGUUUUUUUGAUGCUUCCCCGUGUAUUCAACCAACCCGCUCUUGUAUUUGGAUCAACCAAAAAUACUAAAUAAAAUAAUAAUAUAUAAUAAAAAAUAAACUUUCAACAACGGAUCUCUUGGCUCUC